UACGUAGGGUGCAAGCGUUAUCCGGAAUUAUUGGGCGUAAAGAGCUCGUAGGCGGUUUGUCACGUCUGCUGUGAAAACUGGAGGCUCAACCUCCAGCCUGCAGUGGGUACGGGCAGACUAGAGUGCGGUAGGGAGAUUUGGAAUUUCCUGGUGUAGCGGUGGAAUGCGCAGAUAUCAGGAGGAACACCGAUGGCGAAGGCAGAUCUCUGGCCGAUACUGACGCUGAGGAGCGAAAGCGUGGAG
rnacentral:rRNA from 1 species